rnacentral:rRNA from 1 species
CUACGGGCCGCAGCAGUGAGGAAUUUUGCGCAAUGGGGGAAACCCUGACGCAGCAACGCCGCGUGAGUGAAGAAGGCUUUCGGGUCGUAAAGCUCUGUCAGAUAGGAAAAAAGUUCAUAUGUAAAUAGCUUAUGAAUCUGAUGGUACUAUCAGAGGAAGCACCGGCUAACUCCGUGGCCAGCAGCCGCGGUAAUACGGAGGGUGCAAGCGUUGUUCGGAAUUACUGGGCGUAAAGGGCGUGUAGGCGGUAUGGUAAGUCAGAUGUGAAAGCCCUGGGCUUAACUCAGGAAGUGCAUUUGAUACUGCCAUCCUUGAGUAUGGGAGAGGAGAGUAGAAUUCCCAGUGUAGAGGUGAAAUUCGUAGAUAUUGGGAGGAAUACCCGUGGCGAAGGCGACUCUCUGGACCAAUACUGACGCUGAGACGCGAAAGCGUGGGGAGCAAACAGGAUUAGAUACCCGCGUAGUC